CUACGGGGCGCACCAGUGGGGAAUAUUGGACAAUGGGGGGAACCCUGAUCCAGCAAUGCCGCGUGUGUGAAGAAGGCCUGCGGGUUGUAAAGCACUUUCGGUUGGGAGGACUGCUUCUAGCACUAAUAUUGUUGGAAGUUGACGUUACCUUCAGAAGAAGCACCGGCUAACUCCGUGCCAGCAGCCGCGGUAAUACGUGAGGGUGCAAGCGUUAAUCGGAAUUACUGGGCGUAAAGCGCGCGUAGGCGGCUAGAUCAGUCGGGUGUGAAAGCCCCGGGCUUAACCUGGGAACUGCAUCCGAUACUGUCUAGCUUGAGUACAGGAGAGGAGAGUGGAAUUCCACAUGUAGCGGUGAAAUGCGUAGAUAUGUGGAGGAACACCAAUGGCGAAGGCAGCUCUCUGGCCUGAUACUGACGCUGAGGUGCGAAAGCGUGGGGAGCAAACAGGAUUAGAUACCCGUGUAGUC
rnacentral:rRNA from 1 species